UCCCUGCAAUGUCAAUAAACUCGAUGAAACUACAACCACAAUUUAAAACCUUGAGAAUCAUAAAUGAUUGGGAAAUUCUACCAUCUUUUAUUUUAUUGAGUGGAUUUUAAUUACAUAUAAUUGGAUGGAAAUGAAGGGCGUCACUUCAAUUGUUGGAGUUGUUGCGACGGAUAUGGGAAUCUUGACAACUCCACAAUUGCAUUGGAUGGUUCGUGCUAGAAAUAAGGAUAUGAAAGCUUCAGAGCAGGAUUACUUUGAACAACUUUCAAGCUCAUUCAGGGUCAUUGUGUGAUUGGAUCAGGUGCUUAGUGGAUUUGAUCCCAGCUGAAAAAUGUAAGUUUGAUGGGGUGAACGACAAAGUGGUCGUGGAUGGAUCUAAUGGGGUUAGUUGAGUGAAACUUAAAGAUUUAGGGAAAUUGUUGAAUGGUUUUAUUAUUGAGGUUCGAAAUAGCAGUGAAGAUGGAGGAGUACUGAAUGAUGGAGUUGGUGCUAAUUAUGUGCAGAAAGAGAAGGUUCUUCCAAUCAGCUUUGGUUCUGAAGACAUUGGGAUAAGGUUAGUCUACAGAUAAUCUUGUGUUAGAAGUGAAGUUCAUGCAGGCAUGCUGCUUGACAUUUCUAUACUAAUAUGAAAUUAUGAAGUGUAUAUCUGCAUCGCAGUAAUAUUCCAAUAAAUAAUUUGAGAUUUUCUUUCUAACAAUUUAAUCAGUCUGCAAUUCUAACAAUUCGAGAUUUUUUUUCUAACAAUGCUGAGAUUUUCUAGCAAUUUUCUUUCCAACAAAUGUGUGGUCCUUUGAUGCCUUCAGAGCUUCGAGACCUUUCAGGUAAGGGUCUGGAUGAGGCUUGACAUGUUCACAUUCACCACCAAUAAU